rnacentral:rRNA from 1 species
UACGGGGGGGGCAAGCGUUGUUCGGAAUUACUGGGCGUAAAGGGCGCGUAGGCGGUUCGCUAAGUUGGAUGUGAAAACUCUGGGCUCAACCCAGAGCCUGCAUCCAAAACUGGCGGGCUAGAGUUCUGGAGGGGGUAGCGGAAUUCCUGGUGUAGCGGUGAAAUGCGUAGAGAUCCGGAAGAACACCAGAGGCGAAGGCGGCCUGCUGGGCCUUGUCUGACGCUGAGGCGCGAAAGCGUGGGGAGCGAACAGG